rnacentral:hammerhead_ribozyme from 1 species
AUCUAGCUGACGGGUCCUAAUGAGGACGAAAGGCCCGUCCUAGAU